UACGUAGGGAGCGAGCGUUAUCCGGAAUUACUGGGUGUAAAGGGUGCGCAGGCGUCUUGUUGUGUUAGGAGUUAAAUUUCAAGGCUUAACCUUGGGGCUGCUCCUAAAACUGGCAGGAUAGAGUGUGGAAGACGGAAGUGGAAUUUCUAGUGGAGAGGUAAAAUCCGUUGAUAUUAGAAGGAACACCCGUGGUGUAAACGGCUUCCGAGUCCAUAACUGACGCUCAGGCACGAAAGCUAGGGUAGCAAACAGG
rnacentral:rRNA from 1 species